UACAGAGGUCCCAAGCGUUGUUCGGAUUCAUUGGGCGUAAAGGGUGUGUAGGUGGCGCCGUAAGUCGGGUGUGAAAUUUCGGAGCUUAACUCCGAAACUGCAUUCGAUACUGCGGUGCUUGAGGACUGGAGAGGAGACUGGAAUUCAUGGUGUAGCAGUGAAAUGCGUAGAGAUCAUGAGGAAGACCAGUGGCGAAGGCGGGUCUCUGGACAGUUCCUGACACUGAGACACGAAGGCCAGGGGAGCAAACAGG
rnacentral:rRNA from 1 species